GACAGAGGGGGCAAGCGUUGCUCGGAAUCACUGGGCGUAAAGGGCGCGUAGGCGGGAUGGCAAGUCGGUCGUGAAAUCCUUCGGCUCAACCGAAGAACGUCGGCCGAUACUGCCGUUCUUGAGGGAUGCAGAGGAGAUUGGAAUUCCCGGUGUAGCGGUGAAAUGCGUAGAGACCGGGAAGAACACCAGUGGCGAAGGCGGCUACCUGGACAGGUACUGACGCUGAAGCGCGAAAGCUAGGGGAGCAAACAGG
rnacentral:rRNA from 1 species